UACUUUGAGACUGAUGACAUUAACUACAGAACAUAUGAAAAUCUCCAUUCCUCUUCCCAUGCUCACCACAUGAGAGCAUUUUGAUGUUAGUAUCAGGACCGGCUCUUGGCACCAGCAAACCAAGCACGUGCUUGGGGUGGCACAAUUCCAGGGGCGGCAUUCCAGACACCUUUUUUUUUGUUGCUUGAGGCAGCAAAAAACCCAGAGCCGGCCCUGGUUAGUAUAUUGCUUGAAAGGGACAGUGUGCUAAUCCUGUCAGACGCGCUGUGUGUUUAUUGUAGCUCUUUAAUGGAGAGGGAGCAGGAAAUGCUGAGAGAGAGUAGAGAGGCUAGAGUUGGCUCUCAGGAAGAGUAGCCUAGGUUCCUGCUGGCUUGCUCAUCUGUCAAGAUGGAGGACUGCCUGAACACCAGCGACUAUCUGAUGAUUAAUAAGCCCUAGCUCUUAUGUGGAGUUUUCCAUCAGCAGAUCUCAAAGGAGAAGCAAAUGGAAUCCCUGAAGGUGAACACAAAGAGCUGGCACGUGUGAGAUUCUCUGCACAGGCCUGUCCCACUGAGUAUUGCUGUUCCACUGUGUGCUUUGGAAACUGUGACUCUGUAAGCAAUUAG
rnacentral:lncRNA from 1 species